UGGGGAUUGGAUGGCUAUACCAUCCUAAACGCAGACUGUGAGCUAGAUCUAUCCUCUCCAAGUGAGGACACUCUACAACUAGAGUUAAUACCCAAUCGAAUCCUCUCCAAGUGAGGACGCCCUACACAAGGGUCAACGACUAUCGCGGAAUCAUCGGUUCCCGACAUUCAUGCAAUGCUAUUUAGUUUUCUAAAUUCAUUGUUCACAAGGCAUUUUCUAAGGGAUCCUCCUAUCCCUAGGUCCAUCGACCUCUAGUGUUCUUUACACUACAUUAAUGCCACUCGUUAUCAUUCCAUGUUCGGAUGCCACUCGUUUGUUCUUUGACAAUAACACUACUUUCUAUGUCAUCAACGCCCCCGUCGGGUUCAUCUCUAGCUCUAGCAUCAUAGGAUUCACGUCUCGACCCAAUCCUCACCUAUCUAAGUUACCAAGCGUUCCAAGUACACUAGGUUAUCAUUUAGAAAGCAUAAGGAUAGAGCUACUAUGCAAUCCUACAAUGCAACAUGUAAGAGAUGAGAUUAAAUGCAAUCUAAGACAUAGAAAGGAGUUCGAAAGUUUCGGAUGACACCCCCCACCUUUAAUCGAUGUAGAGGCUUGGAAAGUCCUUCUCGGCGAGCUUCGCAAAAAGGCUUUAGCCUUCCUCACCCGAAUCAAUGCUAGCCCGGCCCAAUCUUGCCGAGAACUUCACGUCGGUUCGCCGAAUGCCAAAAUCGACUUCGCCCCCGCGUUUUGGGACCUAUCAAUAGGGUUUCCAAGGCUUCAAAUGAGAUCAAUCUCAUACUUUUACAAAAACCCCAUUUUGGAACCCUAGAUUUGCACCUAUAGCAAAUCACCCCCAUAAAUCCCUAGAUUCUUGGGAUUGAUCUAUUUAGAAGCUUGCUUAGGGUCCAUUUGACCCAUUCCAAAGCAUAAAAUCCAAGAACCCUAAGUUCUAGAAGCUAGGGUUUAGUAGCCUACCUCAAGAGCUACCCCAAUGGGAAGAGGAGAGGGAGAUGGAGGUGCUCAAAGCCUCCCUCUUGAUCUCCUUCUUCUUCUCCUUCCUUAUCUUCCUCUUCUUCUUCUUCCUCUCCUUCUUCUUCUUCUUCUCCUUCUUUCCUUUCUAGAGAGAGAAAGAGCAAGAGAGAAAUGAGAGUGAGAGAGAGUGGAAUGAGAGAGUGUGAGGGAGAGAGAGGGCUCAGCCCACUCAAAUAAAUGCCAUUUUGCACAAAAGCCCCUCAACUUUCACCCCUGUGCACUGCCCUUACUGGGCAGUUUUCGCGCGGAGAGACCGGUCUCCCCGACUUGGGACCGGUCCCCGAGAGCUUCCCUCGGGCGCACGCGUUCGGGAACCGGUCUCUCCCCGGGAGACCGGUCCUCGGGAGACCGGUCCUCACCUGAGAGACCGGUCCCCGAGAGCUUGAUUUUCAGGACUUAGCCAAUUUUUGGCAUCUCUCGCUGGGACCACGUUCGGGAACCGGUCCCUCCCUGCCAGGGACCGGUUGCAUCACGCAACCCCGCUACACCCAGCCAGGGGAACCGGUCUCUCACCUGCAGAGACCGGUCCCCGAGAGCAACAUCAGCCCAAUGAUGCAGUUUGCCUCAUUUGCUCUCGCGGACUCAACUCCAAGGCACUUUUUGUGCUUUGGACAUUCUCAACUCCCACAAAGGGUAUACUUUCGACAAUUAGUCGAUCCUGGAUGAAGUACAAUCCUCGUAUUUCGAGAAUUCACUUCCUUACAUCCUCCCCUCCUUAAAAGGAGUUUCGUCCUCGAAACGAACAAUUUUCCUAACUUUUAUUUAAACUCAUACCUCACUCCUCAAAUAGAUGAGGAUGGUGUUUUCUCAUCAGAUCCUCGAGUUCCCAGGUGGCUUCGCGAUCAUCAUGAUUGCUCCACCUAACCUUCACAUAGGGGAUUUCUCGAUUCCUCAACUUUCGCACCUCUCGGGCGAUAAUCCCUACCGGAAACUCUUCAUAGCUCAAGUCUUCUUGAAGUUCCGGCGGUUCAUAUAGCAUUGCGUGCUCGGGGUCGUGAAUGUACUUGCGGAGAUUGGAGACAUGGAACACAUUAUGUACGUCCGCAAGCUUCGGCGGUAGAGCAAGUCGGUAGGCCACCGUGCCGACUCGCUCUAAUAUCUCAUAUGGUCCAAUAUAUCGGGGACUUAGCUUUCCCCGCACUCCAAACCGCUUCACACCCCGCAUGGGUGAAACCUUCAAGAAUACGCGGUCACCCACCGCGAAUUCUAUAUCUCGACGGCGCCUAUCCGCAUAACUUUGUUGUCUUGACUGCGCCGUGAGCAAUCUCUUGCGAGCAAGGCGGACUUUCUCCUCCGCUUCUCGCAACACAUCCGGGCCGAACUCCGCACGCUCGCCAACAUCGCUCCAGUGUAUAGGAGAUCGACACGUCCGCCCGUAAAGAGCCUCGAACGGUGCCAUCUCCACACUAGCAUGAUAACUGUUGUUGUAGGCGAACUCGGCCAUAGGUAGGUGGUCACAUCAACUUCCCUUAUAGUCAAUGACACACGCUCGCAACAUAUCCUCCAGAGUUUGAAUUGUUCUCUCUGUUUGCCCAUCGGUCUGGGGAUGAAAUGCGGUGCUAAAAUCGACGAGAUAGUGAGACUGCAUGGGGUGCCGAAAUCGAUCGUGUCGGAUCGCGACCCCCGGUUCACUUCCCACUUCCCGGUUCACUUCCCACUUCUCACGAUCGAUUUCGGCACCCCAUGCAGUCUCACUAUCCCGCAACACCCAGCCGAGGGAACCGGUCUCUCACCUGCAGAGACCGGUCCCCGAGAGCAACUUCUGCCCAAUGAUGCCAUUUGCCUCAUUUGCUCUCGCGGACUCAACUCCAAGGCACUUUUUGUGCUUUGGACAUUCUCAACUCCCACAAAGGGUAUACUUUCGACAAUUAGUCGAUCCUGGAUGAAGUACAAUCCUCGUAUUUCGAGAAUUCACUUCCUUACAGACCGUGUAUUCUUGAGAGUAUCGCCGAUGCGAGGAGUCAAACGAUUCGGGGUCCGUGGGAAGCUAAGCCCCCGUUAUGUCGGACCGUUUGAGAUAUUAGAACGUGUAGGUGCGGUGGCGUACAAGCUCGCACUACCACCGAGACUCGCGGGAGUUCACAAUAUUUUCCAUGUGUCGAAUCUCCAAAAGUACAUCCGAAACGCGACACAUGUAUUAGAGUACGAGCCCGUGGAGCUACGUGAAGACAUGUCCUAUGAGGAGUACCCCGUGUGCAUCCUCGAUAAAGAGGUUAGGAAGUUGCGGAGUCGCAAGAUUCCGUAUGUAAAAGUUCAAUGGAACAACCACGCGGCGCGAGAAGCCACUUGGGAGCUCGAGGAAACCAUGCGGCGAGAGUAUCCGCGUCUGUUUAAAUCGACGAGUUAAGGUAUGCGUAAUUUCGCGGACGAAAUUAUUUUAAGGGGUGGAGAAUGUAAUAUACCGAAAAUUCGGAAAAUAGAAAUGUCGAACUUUAGUCAAAUUGACCAAAGUGCGAGAACGGUACACUUCGGAAAGUCCGAAGGUGUUAAAACGGUUAAAAGUGAGUUACGGGAGGUUUUCGAGAGCUAUAGAAUCAAAUCUGCAAAACUGCAGAUUUUGAGCUCUCGGGGACCGGUCCCUGGUGAGAGAGACCGGUCCCCGAACGCG
rnacentral:lncRNA from 1 species